GAUGAACGCUGGCGGCGUGCCUAACACAUGCAAGUCGAACGGAGUCCCGCCUUUAUGACCUUUGGGUCAAAGAGGGGAAGACUGAGUGGCGGACGGGUGAGUAACACGUGGGCAACCUGGCUCAUAUAGGGGGACAACAGAGAGAAAUGUCUGCUAUUACCGCCUACGCACACACUGCCUCAAGGCAGGUGGUGAAAAGAGGAGCGCUUUGAGCUGGACCGCCGUCUGAUUUGCAAGUGGUAAGGGUAAGCGCCUACCACAGCGACGAUCAGUAGCCGAUGUGAGAGAAUGAGCGGCCACAUCGGCACUGAGACGCGGCCCAAACUCCUACGGGAGGCAGGAGUGGGGGAUAUUGCACCAUGGGGGGAACCCUGAUGCUGCGACGCCGCGUGAGUGAAGAAGUAUGGCGGUAUGAAAAGCGCUAUCAACAGGGAAGAUAAUGACAGUACCUGAAUAAGAAGCCCCGGCUAACUACGUG
rnacentral:rRNA from 1 species